rnacentral:lncRNA from 1 species
UGGCGCCGCAGCCUCCCCGCGGACGCGGUGCCGGCCGCAGCCGUAGUCUUCUCGUGGAUCCGCCGGCCAACACCACCACCAACCAUCUCGUCCACGACCAUCUCCCCGCUUCUCGUGGCUGCUGCUCGUCGGCUCCUCCACACCUCUCCAGUUGGUACUGCUAUGCUCUGUGCGUAG